GGCUUUACUGGAUUAUCAUUAUUAAUGUGUUCAGUUUGCAAUACUACUAAACAUUGCUUCACCAAAUUUUCUUGGAACAAAUUAGACUUUAGAUAGAGUUUAUGUACAUACAAGUGUUGCAUUUACUUUUUAAAGAUAUUUUUAAAAGUUGUAUUGUUUAUACAUGCAUAUUAUAUGUUUUAAAGAUCAAAAGUAAUACAUGUGAUUGCGUUUAUUAAAUUUCAAUACAUUGUAGUUGAUAAAACGAUUUCUUGCAACAAGUGCUCAUGGAAAUUAAUAUGUGAAUGUGAUAUUUUGGUAGAAUGUGUGUUUUACUGACCCAUAACGAUUCUUAACUCUUUUUCUUAAAGCAUACUGCAACAUUUUGAUAGAUUUAUGAUAACUGUAACCAGAAAGUUUUAUAUGAAUGAAUUCAUGAUGAAAAGUUAUAUGAAAUAUGGAAAGGUUUUAUGAUGGAAUUAAUGAUGAAAAGUUAUAUGAAAUAUGGAAAGGUUUUAUUUCAGUUUUGAUAAUUUUUUCCCCUAGAAUAUACAUGUAUAAAUAUUUUAACCAUGGUUGUUUCAUGAAUGCAUGAAUUCAUGUAAAAUGUUUAAUGUUUUUCUUGUAAGAUAUGUGUGAAUGAAUUGCUAGAAUGAGUGUAUGGAAGUUUUAAGAAAGAGAAAUUGUAGUGCAGAAUUGACCUGUGAUGUUGUAUAUUCUAUACUCCACCCUACAAAAUUAAAAAAUAUGGACAUUU
rnacentral:misc_RNA from 1 species